CGGGCACCCGGAGGCAGCCCGGGCGGGGGUCUCCCCCGGGGACUGAGACUAGCGGAAGACGUCCUGGACCCGCUAGGGCCUUUGCCUGAUUGACGAGGUCCGCUUCAGAGCGCGGACGUGCCACGCAGACUCGAGGAUCGUCCAGGCCUUCUGGGCAGUGAUCAGCGCCGACCCUGGGCCAGCGUGAGGGGCAGGCCAGAGUACCCUCCCCCCACCCUAUUUAAAAACAUCCUUCAGUGGGCAUCUCUGACCUCGGCUUGAACUCCUUCAGGGCCGGCUAGAUCACUCCUUCCACCACCGAGGGAAAGGAAGCAAAACGAAUUUGCCAGCCCUGAAUUCAUUCUCAGGGCUUUGCUAGUCUGACAGCCAGCGAACUCAGCUUGGAUUCCUGAGGGCUCAGAGGACUACAGCUCAGUGAGUGACAUGGGCUCACCACCUCCAGGAAAUGAGGAAUGGAGGCAGCCUUGGGGGUGAUCACUCAUGUUCAAAAGCUCCUGUCCAGAAGAUACCCCCGACCCCCAUUUCCUUUACAUCUGAAAACUAGCAUGCUACUGCAGAGGGCAGAGGAGCCAAGCCCAGUAUACAAAGCAGGCCUGAGCGAAGGGAUUCACCCCUCCCUCCCCAGAAGGGAGCCCAGGGACUAAAAGGGCCAAAGGAAUGUCACGUUGUUGUUGUCAUCGAGAGCUUCCUGUUUGCCAGGCAUUUCUCAUUCCAUCCUCUCCACAAAAGCCAGAAGGUGUAAUUCCCCACUGAGGACAAAGACUCAGAGAGACCCAGCUCAGCCGCCACCCCCUUCUUCUGCUGGGAGGCCUGGGAGAGUCAACGGAGAGCCUGCUUUGGGAGUUGGGACACCUUCGCUCCCAGCCCACCACUGCCCGGCUUGCCAUGUGUCGUGAGUGCAUCACAGACUCUGUGCUCCUGUUUCCCCAUCUGUCAGCUCUCAGAAGCCAGAAAGGGGCUUCUGAGGUCAUCGAAGCGAGAACCCCUAGGUCUCAUUCUUCUCGGGAGGUGACUAUCUCUGCUUGCAUCCUUCUGGGAAUGGGGAGCUUGCUCCCUCACAUGGCAGACACUGCUCAGUGAUGUGCUGAUGGUGGUAGGGCUAGUUGGAUUACCGGCUACUCUGUCAUGGCUAAAAGUGGACAUCAUGGACUCCCAGGCCAAUGUUCAUGAGCCUCUGGAAGAACCGGUGACUUAGAUUGUCCCUGAUGUGGCCCUUGCGGGGACUCCUGUCAGCUCGGCUGGCUCCUCCUCAACCUGACAGAUGCCAUAGGAGGCUAGCAGUCAGCUGAAGGCUGGACACCAGGUUCAAGAGCGCAGUGAUUCUUGGAGCUGGAGCUGGCGCCGUGGGACCUGGGAAAGCCAGUGGGGCUUCUGGUAGCUUCCUGAGGCCACAGGAGGUGAAUGAAGCCACGACAGAUGGGCGUAUUGAGAGAGGCAGAGGGGAGAGGGAGAGCCUUCCAGGCCGUGGGAAACAACCGGGCACAUCUUCAAAGUGGGAAGGCGAGGCACGGGGCCAAGGCCGGCUGAGACCUUUAGGGCCCCAAGCACUCAAAAGAUCAUGGUGCUCGCUCCCACCCUGCAUAGUAACUCAGAAUAAAGUUUAUUUUCCUUAGUGACGCUAAGCUUCCUGUGUGUUGGAAGUUGAAAUAGGCUGCUUCUAGGUUCUGGAUUGCAAAACUGCGGGUGAGUGCACAAAAGCAGAACGCGUCUCCCUUUUCCGGUGCCGUGCUGUGUGAGAGCCUGCC